GAUAUAUCCUUUCUUCCCGUUGAUUUCCUUUUCCUCUACGGUCCUGAGUCAUCUUUUUCAAUUAUCAAGAACGAUCGAGAGAUAGAGAAAUCGGAGAUAGAGAGAGAUAGAGAAGGAGAUCGGAGGCAAAUCCCUAAAGCAUAGAGUCGUCGCCCAGUCAAUCCAAUUGAAUUCGAUAAUUUCAAGCUAGGGUUCCAAAGUUUGAACCUUUAAUCCGUCUUUGUAAAGUCUGAGGCAUUCAAAUAGAAAAGGGAAGAAGAAUUUCCCAUCUCGAAUUUCAUAGGUGAGACUUCAAUCUUUUAUUCUGUGCCUUUUCUCAUUUAAGUAUAUUUCUCGCUUUCAAAUAUGAUCAAGUAGCUGGUCCUGUGUUUGGUUGAUUGAGUAUUCUGUGCCUUUUCUCAUUUAAGUAUAUUUCUCGCUUUAAAAUAGGACAAGUGGAAGUUAUUUGUGACUUUGUGAGAAUGUGAUUUGAAAUUCUUUCUGGGUGCUGUAUUUGAUGGGUGAAGGAUUGGAAUAGUUGAUGAUAAGGAAUGAGGUUUUGAAUCAUUUUGUGAUUGCUGUUGAUGAGCCACGACAUCCUUUUUUUUUUUUUUUUUUUUUCCCGGCUCUCUCUUCGCUCUUCUUUUCCUUAAUCAUCGCUCCUUGAUAUUGAUCGUUGAAAUUAAACUAAGUCGUUUUGUUUCUAUGAAAUUUUUUUAUUUUUUUAUUCGUGUUCUUUCUGGGAAUUAUUGAAGAAGUAGGGAUUUAGACCUUCUUGGCUUAUUUCUGAGGAUUGAUGACUUUUUAGGGGCAGUUGCUGCAAGUAGUCCUAACUUUAUUACUGGAAUCCUCUGAUAAGUGCUAUGUUUUGUAGAAUUCUGUAACUGCUGCAAUUAAGUUACCUUCUCAGCUUGGUUCUUUUCUUUGUAUUAACAUUUGGUUGAUGCCUCAUCAUGUGCACUUUUGUAUACAGUUAACAUACAUGUCCCUUAGUAGUGUCAUUGAUGCCUUUUUGUUAAUCUUCCGCAAUAUUCUUAAUUUCAAAGCUUAAUUCUAUA